UGGGGGAUAUUGGACAAUGGGGGGAACCCUGAUCCAGCGACGCCGCGUGAGUGAAGAAGUAUUUCGGUAUGUAAAGCUCUGUCAGCAGGGAAGAAAGAAUGACGGUACCUGACCAAGAAGCCCCGGNUAACUACGUGCCAGCAGCCGNGGUAAUCUGUC
rnacentral:rRNA from 1 species